AACGAACGCUGGCGGCGUGCCUAACACAUGCAAGUCGUACGAGAAAUCCUGGGCAACUGGGAUAGUAAAGUGGCGCACGGGUGAGUAACGCGUGGGUAACCUACCCUUGGACUUGGGAUAACUCCGCGAAAGCGAAGUUAAUACCGAAUGACAUUCCGAUUCUUAAGGGGGUUGGAAUCAAAGAUGGCCUCUGCAUGCAAGCUAUCGUCCAUGGACGGGCCCGCGUACCAUUAGCUUGUUGGUAGGGUAAAAGCCUACCAAGGCAACGAUGGUUAGCUGGUCUUAGAGGAUGGCCAGCCACACUGGAACUGAGACACGGUCCAGACUCCUACGGGUGGCUG
rnacentral:rRNA from 1 species